UCAAACGGGAAGAACCUACCUGGCCUUGACAUAGUAAGAACUUUCCAGAGAUGGAUUGGUGCCUUUGGGAACUUACAAACCGGUUGUGCAUGGCUGUUGUCAACUUGUGUCGUGAGAUGUUGGGUUAAGUUCCGCAACGAGCGCCACCCUUUUCCUUAUUUUCCAACGAGUAAGGUCGGGAACUUUAAGGAUACUGCCAGUGACAAACUGGAGGAAGGCGGGGACGACGUCAAGUCAUCAUGGCCCUUACGGCCAGGGCUACACACGUGCUACAAUGGUAGGUACAAAGGGAAGCGACCUAGCGAUAGCAAGCUAAUCUCAAAAAGCCGAUCGUAGUCCGGAUUGGAGUCUGCAACUCGACUCCAUGAAGUCGGAAUCGCUAGUAAUCGCGGAUCAGAAUGUCCGCGGGAAUACGACGU
rnacentral:rRNA from 1 species